rnacentral:rRNA from 1 species
CUAGCGACUUCAGAGUUUGAUCCUGGCUCAGAUUGAACGCUGGCGGCAUGCCUUACACAUGCAAGUCGAACGGCAGCACGGGUGCUUGCACCUGGUGGCGAGUGGCGAACGGGUGAGUAAUACAUCGGAACAUGUCCUGUAGUGGGGGAUAGCCCGGCGAAAGCCGGAUUAAUACCGCAUACGAUCUACGGAUGAAAGCGGGGGACCUUCGGGCCUCGCGCUAUAGGGUUGGCCGAUGGCUGAUUAGCUAGUUGGUGGGGUAAAGGCCUACCAAGGCGACGAUCAGUAGCUGGUCUGAGAGGACGACCAGCCACACUGGGACUGAGACACGGCCCAG